rnacentral:lncRNA from 1 species
AGCAAGUUUCUUCCUUAGUCCCGGUUUAAAUUAGUCUUCGUUUAUACAACCGGCCUGCAGAGUUUAGCAUGGCAAUGCGAUUUUUUUUUAUCAAAAUGUAUAGAACAAUUCAUGCCCAGUUACAGAUACCAAAGCAGGAACCAUUUAAUCUCUCAACCAUGCAUUUAAUUUUGAAGUUGAUGGCCAACAAAUGAGUUAGUUUGCAAAUUUUUUUGAAACCUACUCUUACAUUAAUCAUAGACCAAUUAGGACAGUCAUCUCAAUGACAGAAAAUGAUUUUACAGAGGGAGACCUUCAAGGUUGUCACAGAAAUCUUAGACAGCUUGACAAGUCAAUAAAAGACAAAGUGAGAGAAAACACUGAUUCUGUAUAUCAUACCAAAACUCACUACCUACAUGCCCAAAUAACUAGAGAUUUUAUAGAAGGCGACAAAACUAUUACUGAUUUACAUAAGGAUUAUACAGGAACAUGUAAUGUAGAAAACCUCCAGCUAAGUUCAAUACGUUUGCCCAUAUUUUCAAUAUAGAAUAUAUUUCAUCAUUUUUCAUCCCAAAGAAGCAGAAUGCCCAUUGCCCAUUUCAGAAUUCAGUGCAACGUACUGCAUUCUGAAAUGAAAUAUUGAAUUCAAAAAUGAAGAUAAAGAAGCAGUAAUAAUGAAGUAUGAACCUCAUCAACAAGAGAAGCAAUUAUCAAGGAUAGAAAAACUUACGACAAGAAAAAGGUUAAAAAGACAAAAGCUAUGAUAGUUGUCAUCUACGAUUUGUCAGCUGUAAUACCUUCACCCAGAGGUGAUGUGUCAGUGUUUUUUGUUACAAAUCUAAAUUGAAUUUCAUACAAUUUUACAAUUUUUCAGCUUCCAAACAAGCACUGUAGCAAAGUGUAUAAGUUUUACAUGAUAAAACAUUUUUGGAUAUUAUAUAUCCCUCCUCAGUAC